rnacentral:lncRNA from 1 species
GCAAUAAUUUCUACCUACGGGGGAAGGGUGGCCAGCCACACAGGAGGGGGAUUUUUACUAAGGAGGAGAAGGAGGCCGUGCUGACAGAGAUGCAUGCUGGACAUUUUGGAGUGAAGCGCAUGAAUUCCAAAAUCAACCUACGCUUCUUCUGACAGGGAAUUGUCAAGGAGGUGGACAGCUGGGUUUGGUAAAUGGACCAACCAGACCCUCAAGACUGCCAUGGGCAAGUCCCUUGAUACCAGGAAGGGUGGGAGAACAACCUGAAGGUAAUUCUCUUUGCACACAACAGCAGACGGGAGCCGCAGCAGUUGUCUGAGAUCACUGAACCCCACCUGAUGUGGUGGAAGUUGUGGAACCAGAUCAGAACGCCUUUGAGGGCCACCUUCAAGCACGGACUGAGAAGGAUGUGGAGGUUUUUGACCAGCUAGAGGUUCUGCCCAACACCCAGAUGUGGAUCCACCUGAUGUCCUCCAUUACCAACCAUCUUCCAACUUUUCAUUACAUCAUCUACACUGUUGUUGUCAUUAUCUGCUAAGAAAAUGUCCUUGCUCUAUCAUACUGGACACAUAAUAUGUGAGAUACACAGAUGAACUAAAAACACUAGCACUGUAAACACUCAACAAAGAGAGCAGCAGUGCCUGGACUUUGCAGUCUCCCUCUUCAAGUCCCCCUUCUGAGACUGGCUGCCUGUUGAGAACAAGUGACAGGCAGAUUUCCACAAACCAGAAUUCAGUAUUUUAGUCUAUGAUUGCUAUGUAAGUGUACAGAAAAUCAGUGAAAAUAAAUUGACACAACUGUACCAAAAACGAUC